rnacentral:piRNA from 1 species
UCAGAGAGGUAAUUUAUUAGG